CUGGCCCUGAAUCAAGGCGGGCAGUUUUCUGGCACUGUUGGUUUCAAGCAGGAGCCUAAAGAGAUGUCUUUCUUUUUUUAGGGGGGGGUAUCGGGAAUCAAACUCA
rnacentral:snoRNA from 1 species